rnacentral:rRNA from 1 species
AUGGACUCCCGGGGCUUCGAUUCCACGGGCCGCGAGUUUUCCAGCGCCACGGAGAUGUGGGCCCAGGAGAUCGGCGCCACCGCCUCCGCCUCGGCCUCCGAAGUCCCUCCGGGCGCCGCCGCCGCGGCUCCAAGCAAUGGGGACGCCGGCGAGGAGGCGGGCGGAGAAGGGAAGCGCGAGGAGUGGUACUCCAAAGGAAUCGCCUACUGGCAGGGCGUGGAGGCGUCGACCGAGGGCGUCCUGGGAGGGUACGGGUGCGUCAACGACGCCGACGUCAAGGGCAGCGCCGCCUUCCUCCGCCCUCUCCUCACCGAGCGAUUCGGCGCCGCGAAGCGCCAUCUUGUCGCGCUUGGUGAGCCGAGCUCUGCCAUGGAGAGCGUUUUACUGGUUCUUCUACAUGCUCAAGAUUGUGGCUCGGGCAUCGGGCGGGUUACAAAGAAUUUUCUUAUCAAGCAUUUCAAUGAGGUUGAUCUCGUUGAGCCAGUAGCCCAUUUUCUAGAAGCGGCACGGGAAAAUCUUAGUAGCUGUAUGGAUGUAGAGCAGGAUACGCAUAAGGCUGCAAACUUUUAUUGUACACCUCUUCAGGACUUCACUCCUGAGGAAGGAAGAUAUGAUGUGAUAUGGAUCCAGUGGUGCAUAGGGCAACUUACUGAUGAUGAUUUUAUUUCAUUUUUUAACCGCGCAAAGGUUGGGCUCAAACCAGAUGGUUUUUUUGUUCUGAAAGAGAACAUUGCAAAAAAUGGAUUUGUUUUAGACAAGGAGGAUAACAGUGUCACUAGGUCUGAUGCAUAUUUCAGGGAGCUAUUUAACAAGUGUGGAUUGUAUAUCCACAGCAUCAAGAACCAAAAGGAGCUACCAGAGGAACUAUUUGCUGUCAGAAUGUACGCAUUGGUGACCAGCCAGCCAAAGGUCACAAAAAAUGGCAAGAGAGGGCGGCCUAAAAAUUCACCCCGUAUAAUCCGCUCUUGA